UUCGUGUUCGUUUUGCAGAAUAGAAGCAGGUGCAGUUCCCUCACCUACACUUGGCUCACAUUCAAGAAGAAGUCAGCUAUACAGUUCUGAAUGUCCCAGAGCUGAGCUCAAUGAUCUUUCCUAAGAGACUGAUCAAGCAUUAUCUUCCACGGCUCUCUCUGUCAGUGCCUGUCUUUCGUUUUGCAGUUUCAGGUUCAGGACUCCUUCCAUUGAAUUUCAGUGGUUCCCAGAAAGAUGUGUGGACUCUUCUUCAUCAUAACAACCACAGUGAUAAUGAAAAUAAGUACCUGAGUCUGAAUCACAAGGUUGCUAUUAGAGGUGCUGAUUUUCGGUAAGUUGAUUCAUUUCACACUCAGUUACUUCAUCUAUAAAGUAAGAUAGUAAUAGCCUCAUUCCUGGACCUGACCCUCUACUUUGUACCCUAAGACUGAUAUUUCUUCAUGAAUUCUGUUGGAGGUCCUAUAACACCGCAAUACCAACAGGCAGAAUCAGAAGCUAACUGUUGGUCUCUUACACACUUGGUUUAAGUCACUCUGAUCCUGUUUUAUUUCCAUUUUUCUCUCUCUGCAAAUUCAUGAGUUUCUUGAAAGCAGGGUCCAGUUCUUCCACACCCAUAUUCCUCAAGUGCUUUAGCCUAGACGUGAUGUGCAUGCUGAAUUCGUUACAAGUAGCCAGA
rnacentral:lncRNA from 1 species